UCGGGGAAAAAAAAAAAAAAAAAAAAAAAGGACAUUUCUACAGCAACUAAAAAAAAAAAAAAAAACCACCAAAACCACACAAACCGUUAAGGAGAGUAAUGUAAUUUGUAGAAAUCUGCAGGAGGCCUUGGUCCUUGGUCCAGGAGUACUACUGCUGACAAUUACACAAAUAAUGUUCCUAUGCAAUUAUCCCAGCAAUAACCGAUAGCAAGCAAAAAUUAUAGAGGCCUGAUGGGAUUUAUACUCAGAGGUUUCUAUGUAGCACUUUGUUUGAAUGAAAAUGGCUGUCUUAAUUUUUUUUUCUUUUCUUUAAAGAAAAUAAUCAGUCAGCUUCUUAGGAGAACAUAAUUUUCU
rnacentral:lncRNA from 1 species